ensembl:lncRNA
UGCUGCAAAUCACCUUGGGCUUUAAAAUACUUAAAUAUUGUUUUUGCAGUAAAUGUAAAAUAUAUUGUUUCUAUGUAUAAUCAGCAUCUUUAAAUCAACCAGUUUAGAUUUUUCAUUUUUAAUUUAAUUUCAUUUACAAUGCUUUGUGGAAUCAUAGUUAUUUCCAUCAUCAAGGCUGUUAAAUACACACAAUCUUGCACCUUUGUCUUUUUGUCUGGUCUUCCCAUUUAUGCUUCAAAUCAAACAUUGCAAUAAUUCACCCAAUAGCUGGCUGGCUUUCUUGGUUAAUGGCUUAAACUCCUAAACAAAGUCUUAAAAAAAAUAAAAAUCCCUAAUGGAAUAAUAAUAAGAAAGUAAAGUUAAAAGUACUUGUGCUAGGAACCAGUGUGUUUAUGAAAAUUAAUUAAAAUAAUAUGACAACGAAUACCUGUUGGCUGCAUAUAAAGAGCCAUACACAAUAAGUUGGAACACAAUAAAAUGGUGGUCUUUGGGCAAGUGAGCAACCACUUAGAAAACCUUAGCAUCCACACAGCUAUGCCCUGGUAAUUACCCACACAUUCAGGGCAGUGAGUUAUGCAUUCACAGUGGUUGAGUAUAUAAUUUAUAUACUGUAUAAUAUGUAUCGAAAGGAAUAGUUCACCUAAACAUGAUAAUUCCUCUUUCACCCACCCUCAGUGUUUGUGUACAAAAUAUACUACACAACAUUCCAGCCCAUGAAUGCAAAUACAGAAAAAAAACCAAAAAAAAAACCUUUUAUAUUUCCUGUUUUGGAGAGUAAUUCUUCUUGACAAAGAAAUACAACGGUGGGGCAACAUAUUUCAUGAAUAUACUCAUGAAAUGAAACAAAUGAUUAUUUCAAUUCCCAAGUCCUAUUCUCAUUUAAAAUAUGGGAGAGAAAAACUUUUGUCACCACCUAUUUCGGAACCAAAGCUGAUUAAAGCAGGCGGGGGUCUGUCAAGUGGCGGCUGUCAGUCAGCACUCCUGCCCAGCAGGAAAUGCUUAUCAGAAAGUCGAGGAGGAUCUGAAACUAUGGCACGAAAGGCAAUCUCACUACAAAUAGCAUAAGAAUUACAGUAAAGCAGCAUUGCCAUUCGCAUCAUGUGUGAACUCUGAUGCCAUAUUCUCUGAUACAUCAUGAUCAUCAUCAAACAACAUCUAAUCACACAUAAAUUUAAACACACAUACAUUUUUUUUUUCUUUUCACUUUCAAAUUACAAACUGCUCAUUCUGUUUUAGUGACAGGCCAAUAUUUACAUAAAAAAUUAUAUUUUGGUAAAUUAAUAGUUAUUUUUCUAGAUAGAUUCAUUUGAAUAGGUUUGUCGCAUACUACCAUUUUCUGAAGUAUUAGUUUGUACACAAAAAGCACAUUUUCUGUAUUCAAAGAACAAUCUUCUGUAUUUAAAGAAUACGCUUCCUAAAAUUGUUAGUAUACGAUGUAAUGUAACUUGAUUGAAAUUGACAAAAGUUAACUGCCAAUGUUGAUACUUUUUUUAACGUAAAACUUAAUUAAAAUGGCAAAAUUAUUAUAUUUAUUUUCACGAUAAAAACUUGAUUGCACUCGCCAUCACUACCUUUUUAAAGCCAUUGUAUUGUUGCAUACUGUAUACUGUUUCACAAACUUUCUUAUAAUAGUAGGGAGUAUGCAGUACACUAUAUGCCAUACUGGCAGUCUGUUCUAGUUAAAAGAGACAGGACAUUUUUGGGGAAAGGGAGAUGUGUAAAUGUGACAUAAUGCAGGUUCAGGAACAUAUGCACUACCACUGUGUAAAGUUUAAAGACCUUUUUUAAAGUAGCUAUAUACAUUAUAGUCGGUUUUCUUGAACCCCAAUAUUGUAGGGGUGUACUGAUAUAGGAUCUCAUUAUGAUGGUUGUCAGUGAUUUUUUUAAUUCACUUUUUUUCACAUAGCAAACUGAUCCACAAACAUCUCAUCCUCAGAUGUUUUGGUAACUGCAGGUUCACAUUCCAUGAUCAGCUGCCCGUCAUGUUUCCCCACACACACUGCUGAAACAAAAAUGCAGUUGCGCUUCAUUAAAAAAUAUACAUGGAUCUGGAGAGAUGGAGUCAGAAACUGACAACCUCAAAUCAAAUACAGGUGCUUACACUUCCUGUUCUGUCAAGUUCUUUCCUGUUCACCUUCCUAUGCCUCUGUGCAGGAAGACCCUUUUCUUCUAAAAUAAUCUAUGGCCAUGGUAUUCAUCUCUUAACUCUUUCCAACACCGAAUAAAAGGUUAGAGUUUUCUGUGUUUUCUUUCUUCUUUAUAGGGUAGCAAGAUGUGUGUGGUUAGCUUCACCAAAUGUUUUUAUCAAGAGAUGUUUUGAAAAGGUUUUUCCUUUUUUUUUCCAUUUAUCACCUGUUUAAUUAAACUAAAACAACAUACUAAGAAAAGUUUGUAAAAAUAGGGCCCAAUGUAUUGUUUUAAUACGAAGGAAUUUUUCAUUUAUGAAAAUGAAUGCAUCACAUUUUUUAUCUGUGCAAAAUCAGGGUCAGUCUUCUAGACAAAUAUAGAAUUCUGGCAUGAAAUUUUAGAUGGCACAGUCCGGUAGGUCUAACUCAGUCUGACCUAAUGACAUCAUCACAUGGCAAAGCUGAUUGGUUCUCUCCUGUAUCAGUAGCCAAUGAGCUCGCUGCUCAGCAUUCAAAUAUAUGACUAGGGCUUACCGUAGCAGUUGCAGCUUGCUUCAGAAACCCUCCACCUUCCCCAGAUCCACCUGUAUAGAUCUGCUACGAGGGGAUUCAUGUAUGCUAUAUGGGGGUUAUUUCAUGUGUUAUAUUUGCAGCAGCAAUAUUUCUUACAUGCUCACAGCAGCAUGUUGUGGAUGCAGCAGUAGCAGCAUAGCAGAUAUAUUCUGCCAAGACCAAAUACAUUAACUUUAUCAUGUACAUUACCAUGCCAAUCCCUCCGAGAGUUGUAAUGACAGAAAUUAGUCUUUUACAGUAAAUGUGUGUCAGUUAUUAAUAGUAAGUAGUCACCACUCACAGGUUUUGUCAUGCUGGCUAAGAAUUCUACUGAAUUAAAAAGAUGAUGUUAAAGAAUUUCAAGUCUGUGUGAAAGCAGGCUCUCCCUUCCACUCUAUCAGAUUAUUGACAUGUUCAGACACACACUGUCUGUAAAUAUUUGUGCCUUUGUGACACUGAGCAUCCAGCUAUCAUUUCCUAUGAUUCACUAUAUUCUUAGGUCAGACUGCUGCUCAAAGUCCAGAGUUCUUGUUUUGAAUUAAUUAUAAUAUAUUGAAAAU